rnacentral:rRNA from 1 species
UUUAUGGAGAGUUUGAUCCUGGCUCAGGAUGAACGCUGGCGGCGUGCCUAAUACAUGCAAGUCGAGCGAACGGACGAGAAGCUUGCUUCUCUGAUGUUAGCGGCGGACGGGUGAGUAACACGUGGAUAACCUACCUAUAAGACUGGGAUAACUUCGGGAAACCGGAGCUAAUACCGGAUAAUAUUUUGAACCGCAUGGUUCAAAAGUGAAAGACGGUCUUGCUGUCACUUAUAGAUGGAUCCGCGCUGCAUUAGCUAGUUGGUAAGAUAACGGCUUACCAAGGCAACGAUGCAUAGCCGACCUGAGAGGGUGAUCGGCCACACUGGAACUGAGACACGGUCCAGACUCCUACGGGAGGCAGCAGUAGGGAAUCUUCCGCAAUGGGCGAAAGCCUGACGGAGCAACGCCGCGUGAGUGAUGAAGGUCUUCGGAUCGUAAAACUCUGUUAUUAGGGAAGAACAUAUGUGUAAGUAACUGUGCACAUCUUGACGGUACCUAAUCAGAAAGCCACGGCUAACUACGUGCCAGCAGCCGCGGUAAUACGUAGGUGGCAAGCGUUAUCCGGAAUUAUUGGGCGUAAAGCGCGCGUAGGCGGUUUUUUAAGUCUGAUGUGAAAGCCCACGGCUCAACCGUGGAGGGUCAUUGGAAACUGGAAAACUUGAGUGCAGAAGAGGAAAGUGGAAUUCCAUGUGUAGCGGUGAAAUGCGCAGAGAUAUGGAGGAACACCAGUGGCGAAGGCGACUUUCUGGUCUGUAACUGACGCUGAUGUGCGAAAGCGUGGGGAUCAAACAGGAUUAGAUACCCUGGUAGUCCACGCCGUAAACGAUGAGUGCUAAGUGUUAGGGGGUUUCCGCCCCUUAGUGCUGCAGCUAACGCAUUAAGCACUCCGCCUGGGGAGUACGACCGCAAGGUUGAAACUCAAAGGAAUUGACGGGGACCCGCACAAGCGGUGGAGCAUGUGGUUUAAUUCGAAGCAACGCGAAGAACCUUACCAAAUCUUGACAUCCUUUGACAACUCUAGAGAUAGAGCCUUCCCCUUCGGGGGACAAAGUGACAGGUGGUGCAUGGUUGUCGUCAGCUCGUGUCGUGAGAUGUUGGGUUAAGUCCCGCAACGAGCGCAACCCUUAAGCUUAGUUGCCAUCAUUAAGUUGGGCACUCUAAGUUGACUGCCGGUGACAAACCGGAGGAAGGUGGGGAUGACGUCAAAUCAUCAUGCCCCUUAUGAUUUGGGCUACACACGUGCUACAAUGGACAAUACAAAGGGCAGCGAAACCGCGAGGUCAAGCAAAUCCCAUAAAGUUGUUCUCAGUUCGGAUUGUAGUCUGCAACUCGACUACAUGAAGCUGGAAUCGCUAGUAAUCGUAGAUCAGCAUGCUACGGUGAAUACGUUCCCGGGUCUUGUACACACCGCCCGUCACACCACGAGAGUUUGUAACACCCGAAGCCGGUGGAGUAACCUUUUAGGAGCUAGCCGUCGAAGGUGGGACAAAUGAUUGGGGUGAAGUCGUAACAAGGUAGCCGUAUCGGAAGGUGCGGCUGGAUCACCUCCUUUCU